UCAGUUGCUCGUCGAUGUUGAAAGCGUUUGGUGCUCGCAGCGGAAAGGCGGACCUGGCACCCAAACAAAUAUAUUGGGCAAAACAAAAAAAAAAUGAAUAAAUAAGGAAAAGCUGGGGAAAACUUUGAAAACGGGCGCGCGAACAAGUGAGCAGCGGCGGCAGAAUCAAAAUCAGCAGCCGAAGUGAAGUCACGUCAAGCGGAAGGCGGAAGUGCACAGUGAAAAAGUGAAAAUAAUUUGUGCAUAAAUCAGUUGAGAGAAACAAUGAUGGAAUAAAACGGAUAGCCGGACUUUGCGUGAAAUUCGGCAGAAGCUGAAUCGAGAGGGAUAAACUUUUUGGCCCGCUAUGCCCAGGCAUCGUGCGGUGGCGACGAGCGCGGCUGUAGAUAUAGAUUCAAAUACAGAUUCAGAUACAUAUGAUACAGAUACAGAUACAGAUACAGCAGCAAUUUUAUUUGCCACUCGCAUUGAACAUGUGCCAAAGCUGCGGGCUGCUCGAAGCUGACUCUGGUAAAACCGCGACGAGGACGACGAUGCCACUUGAUUUCGGCCAACUUAAAUAAGCUGGCAAAGGCGAGGCGAGGCGCUAACACACCACAUCCACUCAAUCCCCGACACAGCCACGCAAAAAAAACAAACAAACAAAUAAACUAGGCUAAAACUAGGCAGCUUGCAGCUAGGAAAUGGCCGCGCCCAUCGACGAGAGUGUGCUGAAUGCACUGAGGGGCGUGACCAGCGCCCACACCCGCCUGCCCAAGCCGCUGCUCAUCAAGAUCUACGUGGCCAGCCAGAAGCAGGAGUUCAACCAGGAGCGUCGCAUGCUCCUCGAACUGGUCGGUCCCGAGCUGCAGUCCCUCUACGAUGACCGGCAAAUUGAGCUGGAAUUUGUGGACAUGCACUUUGGCACUGGCGACCUGGAGGUGCACCAGCUGGAGCGGGAUCCCUACCUGAUCCACGACUAUCUGCACGAGAUCGACACCUGCCACGCCCACACGAAGAGCGUCUUCUUCAUGGUGCUCGUGGGCGAUGGCAUCGGUCGUCAGCUUCUGCCCACCAAAAUGGACGAGGACAUCUUCUCCGCUGUCCUGGCCGAUCAGCAAACCUCGGCCGACCAUGAGGCACUCUUGGUUAAGUGGUACGAAAAGGAUGCAUCUCAAUCGCAACGGCAACUCAAGCAGGAUUAUCGGCUGAUGGCCGCGGAUGCCUGGCUGGCUGAAUCACAGCGAAUGCAGAGCUUUUUGGAACAAGCCUUUCAAUCACUGGUUCAAGGAUCUGGUGCAUCAGGACGAUCGCCUGAGUUUGUGCAACGGGUUCAGCAGCUUCGACGCUCGCAGAUCGAAAGGGAAGUCGCCCAGGCUAUGGCUCUCACCAGCGAGAAAAUCCUGGCAGUUUUCCGCGAACGAGCCGCUCAGUGCAGCAAGGGGGAUGUGGAGGCGGCAGAGCGAUUGCGGAAAAUCAAGGACGAACUCACCAUGAACCUUUCCACAGAUAAUCACACUACCCUCGUGGUGCCCGGCAAUGCGGCCAGCGAGGCCAUCGACCCGGACAACGAGGACCACGAGUCCUACUUGAGCAAGUUCAAGAACAAAGUCACCGACAAGUUGCGCCUGCUAAUCGAGGCGCACAUAACCAAUGAUCCCGACGUAAUCAAGGGGAGGAAAAAGACUGUGCAGGAAAUCUUUCACGAGCACGCCACGCACCUACGAAUCCUGCGGGAGCACACGGACAGCGAUGCUCUGGUGGAGUCGCGGGUGCCCCAACAGCUCCGCCAGAAUCUGAUGGCCAACUUCCGGAACGGCAGUCGGCAUGCGCCGUACUUUCUCUGCGGCGCCGAUGGCAGUGGCAAGAGCGCCAUCCUGUGCCACCUGUACGGCCAGGUGGGCAGCUGGUUUGGAUCGACUCGCGUGCAUCGGGUAAUUCGCUUUGCCAAGGCCACGCCCCGUUCCGCCUACAAUCUGGAGCUGCUACGCGUGAUUUGCCAGCAGAUCUCAAUCAUCUUCAACAUACCGGAGGGCUAUUUGCCCAAGGACGCCUCCUUUGAUCCGCUGUAUAUCAACACCUGGUUCCAGAACCUUUUGCGUCGGGUCGAGGAUAUGGGCAAUGAUGUCCUGUUCCUGUUCAUUGACGACUUGCACUUGCUGAACCCGCUGGAUUGCGAUAUUGUGACGGCUCUGUCAUGGCUACCCACAUCGCUGCCCUGGAAUGUGCAGAUCAUAUGCAGCUCCACCACGCCAGUGGAGCAGCUGAAGUUUACCCCAAUGCAGCGGGAUCGCUUCAAGUCCGUCGAGUACCAGUUCGAUUUGAAUCUGGGUGACUAUGCCACUAAGCUUAAGAUACCGCCACAAUGCAUUCCAGGCGACGUCAGCUUUGCCCUCUAUGUGGAGCAGCAGUUUGACCAGCUGGAACGCCAUUACGGACGACAGGCGGUGGGCGAUCUGGCCAGCUACAUCACCUGCUCGGAAUACGGAUUGAGUGAGACGGAGCUGCUGGAGCUGCUCAUGCCCACCGACGAUCCGGAGUCGCUGAUUGAGACCAAGAACGGACACUUUAGCUUCGCCACCUUCAAGAAGAUCCAUCGCGAGAUGGACCUUUUGCUGCUGCUGCACGACAAGAUAAUGUCCGGCAAGGUGCUGAUCCAGUGGCGGCACAACUACUGCUCCUCGGUGGCCAAGCGGCGCUACAUGGACGUCCAAAGGACGCGUAGCCUGCACUGCGAGCUGGCCAAUCUCUUCUUUCCGCAGGACGAGGACGAAAGCACGCUGGAGAACGAGUCGAAUCGCAGCGAGAGCAAGUCGGUGAUCAGCCUGAAGGACAGGGAGCGCGAAAAGGACUCGCUGUCGGCGAUGUCAGCCGUUUCCGCCGGCCGGAAGUCAUCGUCCACCCAUCACAACGACGACACAUCCACCUUCUACAAUCCCAUUGCCGCCGAUGUGAGCUACAGCAUGCGGCACGUGGAGGAGAGCUGGCACCACCUGAUGCGAUCCGAUGACACCACCCGCUUCAAGCAGAUCGCUGUCUGCAACUUCGACUUCCUGCUGGCGGCGGUUCAAACCGUAUCUAUCAGCUACCUACGCUGCCUGAUCGAGCACGUGCGCUGCUACAUCCUGGACAGGGACAUCGAGCUGAUCUACUACACGAUCCGGAAGUCUAGCGACGUCCUCACCCGCGAUCCCAUGCAGCUGGGCUCCCAGCUGAUAUCCUGGCUGCGUCCCAUUAGCGAGCACGACGACGACGACAACUCGCUGCUGAGCAUGACGGUCCGCUCGGCGACCGCUUGGUGCGACGGCUAUGCGGUACCGCUACUCGUACCGCUCACCGGCUGGCUGCCCGCUCCGCUGCCCUCGCAGAUCCGCACGAUGACGGUGUCCGGCACCGGUUGCAUACGCGCCGUGUGGCUGGCGCCGUCCAAGCAGCAUCUCAUCCUGGCCACCAGCUCCGGCGACGUGCAGCAGUGGCACAUCAUGAGCAACUCGCUGGAUCACAUCUUCAAGGGACACACGGCGGCGGUCACGUGCCUCCUAGUGGCGCCCGAGUCGGAUUCGGAGCUGCUGCUGACCGGCUCCGAAGAUGCCACUGUACUUGUGUGGCACGUAGGACUUCGCGAGCGACGGGCGCACAUUAAGAACGCCCACACGGCUCCGAUUACGGGCGUGGCAGCCGGCGCCAAUAACACGCUCAUCAUAAGCAGCAGCGAGGAUGCAAGCAUCGCCAUCACGGACCUGGCCAGCGGCAAACUGAGACACCGCAUCACCCAUCAUCGCGGUGCAGUUAGUGGAAUCGUGGUGGCCGGAGCCUGCGAUGUCCUCAUCUCGGGCGGCGUCGAUAGGACAAUUUGCGUGUGGGACCUGGAGAAUUUCGCACUGCUGAACACUAUGCAGAUGACCAGCGCUGUACUGCGUAUUGAUAUCUCAUGGAAUUCGGUCUUUCUUUUGGCUUUGUGUGAGGACAAUGCGCUUUAUGUUCGCACCCUGGCCACCGGCAAGGAGUUGCAUACUCUCAAAGGACACAAGUCGAAGAUUCGAAGCAUUUCCAUUGGCAAGGACAGCCAGCGUUGUGUGGUGGGCUGUGAUGAUACAAGGGCGCUGAUCUAUGACAUGCACGCCGGCAAACUGGUAAGAUCUCUGCCUCCAAAUCCGGGACCAGUCACCGCCGUGCAUGCGAUGGAUAAUGAUGAUUUCCUGGUCACCGUGGGCGGCAACAAGAUCACCUUCUAUUCGUUCCGCAACGAGGAACUCUAUGUGAAUCCCUAUUCGAGGCAUCCGCGUCGCAAACGCAGCCUGAAGCGUCAUGCGCAGGCGCAGCGAUCGCCAUCGACCACAUUGCCACCCAUUACCUGCUUCGAUUUGUCCCGCGACUCCCAGCAAAUGGCCAUUGGCUCCGGACGCCAUGUCCACCUCAUGAGGAUCAAUACGCCGGAAUACCAGUGCACAUUGGAGGGCCAUACGGCCGGGGUCUCUUGUCUCAAGUUUGCGCCGAAUGGCGAGUUUCUGGCCACCGGUUCCGAGGAUCGUAUGGUGCACAUUUGGAAUCUGGCUCUGGGCGAGAUUAGUCACUCCUUCAAAGGCCACACUGCACCGGUGGUCAAGGUGGUGGUGCUAAUGGACUCCUUGCGAGUAAUAUCCACGGAUCGCGACUCCAUGCUGCUCGUUUGGAUGGCCCAUUCCGGCAAUUUGUUGCAGACCAUCCAAGGACCCUACAAAAGUUUGUCCGUAACCAACAACAUGCGCUUUGCCGUCUCCACGAACGGUGAUAACACUCUGAAGAUCUGGUCACUAACUCAGGAGGACGAAAAGUACUCCGUUUCGCAUUCGGACGAGAUCACCUGCUUUGAGAUCAGCGCAGAUAGUGUGCACAUCAUCAGCGGAUCACGGGACAUGUCCUUGAAGGUGUGGCAGGCAACGGGCGGCAAACUCAGCCAGGUGCUGGUGGGGCACAGUGAUGCGGUCACCUGCGUGGCCGUUUCGGUGACCAACAAGACUCAGGUCCUGUCCGGCUCGAAGGACAUGAAUCUCAUCAUCUGGGACCUGCUCACCGGCGAGGAGGUGCACACGCUGGCAGGACAUCUGGGUCCAGUGAUUGGUGUCAAAGUUUCGGCAGAUGGUUCCACUGCCGUUUCUGGAAGCGAUGACAAGACCCUCAUCGUGUGGGAAACGAAGCGCGGACUAGCUCUGACCUCGCUUCAAAUGCACGUGCCCUUCACCCAUUUCGACAUUAGCCUGGAGGUGUCUCGCGUCCUCGUCCAGCUGGUGGACAGCUACAAUCUUCCCGUGAUUUGCUUGCAUAACACUCCGGCGCAGUAUGUCAAGCUGCCCACGUAUUCGGGUCCCAGCAAGGAUGUUGAAGACCUAAGACCGCAGGGUCCCAAGCGUCAGAUGAAGCGGCUGCUGAAGAAGGAGGUUUCGCUGGACACGUACACCUGGCAGAAGAAGUACGGCCACCUGACCUCCUCGGUGAUGAUGGCCCAGGUGGAUGAGCGUCUGAAGCGGCGCUUCAGCGUUUCGGCCAGCAUGGAGGAGAUCUCGAAGAUAGCCGAGACCAAGACAGGUGCUUCCCAGGCGAAUCUGGGACCGGAGCAGGCGGCUCUGGCGCAAUCGCAACACUUUGAUCAACUGGAGGCGCUGUGGAAUAAGCGCUCACCGCCCAGAAGACGCCACAAUGCGGGUCUCUCGAGGCAAACCUCGCUGGUGGAGGACCGGCUCGAAUCGUCGGACGACGACGAGUACCAGGACGAGCGCGCAGGUAAGUACACUUUGGAAAACGAACAGCGAGCUUUUGCAAUUGAAAAUUGCUUAGAUCAAAAACAGACUUUAAUAAUUACCUGUGUAAUAUGGUUACCAAGAAAUGAUAACAUCUUAAAGUAUAGGUAAAAGUCCAUUGGCAUUCUGCAUUUGUUUAAUUGAACUGUAUGAACAGCAAUGAGGCUUGUGUUUCAUAUUUCAAAUAACGAAUUCAACCGAAUGCCAGAGUAAAAGUGCAAAUGACUAGGGGAAUGAGUGUGCGAAUGCCAAUUGCCAUUGUUAAUAGUAAUUAGUUUUGCCCCAGGUAAUGACAAGCCAACUCUGCGUGUUUUCGACUGUAAUGGCUUUCGAGUAAAUGGCUGCAUCAUGAAUAUUAAGUGCUCAUCCAGACCGGUGGUCGUGCUCAUUUCGCAUUGGCCAGCGCAGAAAAUGGCAAUCAAUAAAUUCGCAACGCGAUUAACUCGAUAAGCAAACAAGAGACCAGCGCAUCGCUGGUCGGGUAAUGAAUUGAGCGAAUUAAAACCAAUCAAUUCCAGUCGAGCGGAAUCGAUUCCAAGCGAAUCGAAUCGAAUUGCAUCGUAAAAAAAAUGGAACGGGGUCAGGGACUAGUAUCCACUGGAGGUAAGCAGCUCGUUCUUCCAGCUUUACGUUCUGUUUCAACCAUUCAACUACAAGGACGUGCGAUGCGAUCGGCGAAACAAUCGAACUGUGCAUAUAUAUGUACCAUAUCCUUAAAUGUAACAUACCAUAAGGUGUUAUGCGCUUUCGUUCGAUCACUAAGUAUUAGUUAACACUUUCGACUCCUCUCGAUUUUAUGACGUUUUUAUAACGAUUUUAUACGCUCUCUCGAUGUGUACAUAUAAUAUAUAUAUAUAUAUUUAUACAACUUCCUGCAUAUUUUUGAGUACUCGUUCCGUUUUAAAGUUGUUGUCCACAUUGGCCACGUUUCUGCUGCUAAUCAAAAAAAAAACAAAAAUAAAACCGAUGAAAAUGAAGUUCCCAUUUUCCAUUCCAAUUAUCCAACUCCGACCGAACGACCAUCACCACCACCAACCACCAACCACCACAACCAACCAACAGCCACCGCCCACAGUUCGAAAACCAGUUCCCGCAGCUCACUGCUCCCAUAAACCAGUGCAUCCGGAUUCCGGAACAGUAGGAACGGCCACCACUCUGAAUAAAUAAAUACUAACCAUAAUAACCAUAAUAAACAAGGAAAAGAAAUGAAAACCAUUUAGUUAAGUUAACCCACUCGAUUGGCAUGCUAUCUCCAGUGUUUUCCACAAAUUCGAAGCUAGUUCACCUUAAACAAUGAGCACUUUGCAAGAAACCAAACACCGAACGGCACCCCCCCAAAAUUGACUAACUCAAUUCGGCUAAUUUUUGGUUUUUUGGUUCCAAUUUUCGUCUUCUAGAUGACUUCGACGAUUUCUUUCAGUGGGGAUAGAACAAGAUUAUUAGGAUAUAGGAUAAGCUAUCACAAUGUUAUUGCUAGGCAUUAGACACACUAUAUAUACCUUUUUGAGUAACAAGGGCAUACCUCAAAUGCAAAUGCUGAACAAAAGAAAGAAACACUUUUAAGAACUCUACACAGUUUAUAACGUACUCGUAUAAAUAGCAUAUUUAUAAUCGACAAAACAACCCAUGCACACACCUCCGGCUGGAUAUCCUCAAAUCAUUUCGCUUCAGGAGGAGGAGGAUACCACAAGGGAUAAGACCUGAGUCAGCAAUUAAAUGGAGUACUUAUCCAAAAAGCCAAGCAAUAAGUGGGCAGACGAGCGUAACAAAUAACUCAUCUACCAACUCCCAUAACCCAUUUCUCUAUGUAUGGUAGAUGUUAACGAUGAUAAAGUGAAUGUAGUUAAAUCUGAUAAACCACCGUCUCAGACUUUGUAGGAAUUUUAGUGUUAAGUGAGCCCAUUUACAAAUUUUAUUGUUGUAGAGUGUGUUUUAUGAACCAGAGCUAACAAAGCCAGAGCUAAAUGUUAAUUGUACGAGUAUUGGACCCAAUAACGCAAUAACUUAGAAUCUGUUCAAAUGAGACAUGCAAAUACGAGCUCUCUAAAGGGGUAAAAAGCGUAACUAUGCUUAAAAACACAAGUGAAACAACCAGAUAAUGAUAUCCACACCAACAACACUUGCACCACACAAAACACACUGAGAACAUUGAUGGUUAACUAAGAAAUUAGGCAAAUGAAUGUAUAUAAUUAAGCUACUACUCGUAUGUUCGCUGUAGAUUUAGUAUUGCCACGACCUCAGUUCGAGUUGCACUUUUUCGGGUCACGGGCUUGCACUUCCCUCGGAUAUAUGUAACUUCAAUAACUUUCUGACAAUCAGAGGUUCUAGCCUGGAACGAAAAAUAAAAUAAUAAAAGAUGAAAAUAAAAAAUAACAAAAUAGUUGAAUAACAAAAUAACAAAAUGCAAUUGCAAAAACCACUCGAAUCUGAGAGGAACAUAAUGAUAUUUCUACACUGGAUAUUUCCAUGCAUGCCGCAAGUGAAACUUCGUUAAACUAAGAAACUUAUGCCUAUGUAGCGUAGUGUAGUGUCCACAAUCUCUGUAGCUGAGCCACGAGCAUCUCCCGAGGAACUUUGCACCUGGAUACGAAAACGGACAAGGAUAUGGCCACGGAAUCGGAUAGCGAUAUCUAAUCAUAAACCAAAAAAAGAAAACAAACACACAAAAAACACACUCAGAAAUGUACACCCUGUCAAUGUCUAUUAAAUCGAAAUUAAACUCAACUUUACUGGAGAACGAAAAA